CGCAUUAACGGCAGCCAUUUUUCGUUUUUGUCAUCGCGCGAUGUAAUUUUUUACCUAACUUCGUAAGCUCAUAACUCCAUAAAAUAUUACUGUAUGGAAAAGUGAAUUAUACCAGGGGAAAGGAUAACAUCUACAAAUACAGACAAACAUGGGAUAAGGAGGCAAUGGCUAAUGCAAUUAAAGCAGUAGAGUGGCCUUCUAAUGACCCAGCGCGCGAUAUAACGGCACCGGUUGAUAUAAUUCCUGAUAACCUGAUACCUCAGCAAAGGGCUGUUGUACCUGAACCCGAUAACUGCUUACCUGAGACAAAGGCUGUUGCAUCUCCCACACCUUAAUCUGUAAUUGAACCAUCACCCCAGACUCGUUGAUGGACAUCAUGAAGCAAAUG